GGUGGUUGAUCGCGUCGGAAGUGUAAUCUUGGGGCUUAACCCUGAGCGUGCUUUCGAUACGGGUUGACUUGAGGAAGGUAGGGGAGAAUGGAAUUCCUGGUGGAGCGGUGGAAUGCGCAGAUAUCAGGAGGAACACCAGUGGCGAAGGCGGUUCUCUGGGCCUUUCCUGACGCUGAGGAGCGAAAGCGUGGGGAGCGAACAGGCUUAGAUACCCUGGUAGUCCACGCUGUAAACGGUGGGUACUAGGUGUGGGGUCCAUUCCACGGGUUCCGCGCCGUAGCUAACGCUUUAAGUACCCCGCCUGGGGAGUACGGCCGCAAGGCUCAAACUCAAAGGAAUUGACGGGGCCCCGCACAAGCGGCGGAGCAUGCGGAUUAAUUCGAUGCAACGCGUAGAACCUUACCUGGGUUUGACAUGGAUCGGGAGUGCUCAGAGAUGGGUGUGCCUCUUUUGGGGUCGGUUCACAGGUGGUGCAUGGCUGUCGUCAGCUCGUGUCGUGAGAUGUUGGGUUAAGUCCCGCAACGAGCGCAACCCUUGUUCACUGUUGCCAGCGCGUUAUGGUGGGGACUCAGUGGAGACCGCCGGGGUCAACUCGGAGGAAGGUGGGGAUGACGUCAAGUCAUCAUGCCCCUUAUGUCCAGGGCUUCACGCAUGCUACAAUGGCUGGUACAGAGAGUGGCGAGCCUGUGAGGGUGAGCCAAUCCCAGAAAACCGUUCUCAGUUCGGAUUGCAGGCUGCAACUCGCCUGCAUGAAGCCGGAAUCGCUAGUAAUCGUGGAUC
rnacentral:rRNA from 1 species